AACAGUACUAAUGACUAUUUCUUCUUCAUUCUUCUCCUUUGCAGGGGGGAAAAUGCAGGAAAUUCAGAAAUUGGCUAUUUUGUUAGGAAAACAACAGCAUUCAAACUUAUAAGUUACCUGUAUAGAAAACGUACUCAAAUAUUAGCUGGGCAUUUCAUUUCAACCUAGGAGCACCUUGAUCAUCUAUUGACAGCACAGCGUGCAAAUGUGUAGGUUUUUAAAACUCCGAAAGUCAAUUCUGGAGCAUCCAUUAGCAUAUAAAUAAAUAAGAUCAGAAUUCAAGAAUUCAAGAUAGAAGUCUGGGCUGGCUGUCUACACCUCAUAAAAGAUGCCCUGUACCAUUUAUACUCUGCAAGCUAGUUUUAAUUUCUGGACACUUUCUGAGGAGCCACCUAGAACUGACUCAGCGCUCCUGGACCUUCACUUGGGGCCCAAGACUCUGCAGCUGCUGUAGCUCUACAUUUGCCUAAAGCAAUGUGCCAGCUGUCUCUGCCCGUAUUACCCUACAGUAAUGUGAACAACUGGAAGCAAUAAUGUGUCUGCCCAUUUGCCUAACAAUACCAACAUGAACAAUAAUUCAGAAGACUGAAGAUUUGUGCUGUAAUUUAAUAAACCCCAUGCCCAU
rnacentral:lncRNA from 1 species